rnacentral:rRNA from 1 species
CCUACGGGAGGCUGCAGUGAGGAAUAUUGGUCAAUGGGCGUAAGCCUGAACCAGCCAAGUCGCGUGAGGGAUGAAGGUUCUAUGGAUCGUAAACCUCUUUUAUAAGGGAAUAAAGUGCGGGACGUGUCCCGUUUUGUAUGUACCUUAUGAAUAAGGAUCGGCUAACUCCGUGCCAGCAGCCGCGGUAAUACGGAGGAUCCGAGCGUUAUCCGGAUUUAUUGGGUUUAAAGGGUGCGUAGGCGGCCCUUUAAGUCAGCGGUGAAAGUCGGUGGCUCAACCAUAGAAUUGCCGUUGAAACUGGGAGGCUUGAGUAUGUUUGAGGCAGGCGGAAUGCGUGGUGUAGCGGUGAAAUGCUUAGAUAUCACGCAGAACCCCGAUUGCGAAGGCAGCCUGCCAAGCCAUGACUGACGCUGAUGCACGAAAGCGUGGGGAGCAAACAGGAUUAGAUACCCCAGUAGUC